rnacentral:rRNA from 1 species
GACGAACCGUGCGAACGUUAUUCGGAAUUACUGGGCUUAAAGCGCGUGUAGGCGGGCCGGCACGUCGAGCGUUGAAAUCCCCCGGCUCAACCGGGGAAGGGGCCUCGAUACGACCGGCCUGGAGGGGGGUAGGGGGAUCGAGAACUUCCGGUGGAGCGGUGAAAUGCGUUGAGAUCGGAAGGAACGCCCGCGGCGAAAGCGCGGUCCUGGACCCCACCUGACGCUGAGACGCGAAAGCCAGGGGAGCGAACGGG